ensembl:lncRNA
GCUCCUGAUAAUGGUUCUGUGUUCAACACCUUCCUGAGAAAAGAGGAUUUCUGCAUGGAAGGAGAAUGAGUACUCAGACACACACCUCAAUUCUUCAGCAUCAGGCGCUUCUGGGCACAUUAGCCUAGAUUUAGACCUCGAUUUAUCCCAAGGAGUAGAUGCCAGGAAAUUCUUUCUGGAACCUCCUGAUAUUUGUGGCUUUUCAGAGCUAAGGAGAAGUGAAGUUUAAAGUGCUGACAGCAUUGCCUCACCAUCCAUCUCAGGCACAACCCCUUCAAGUUUCCUACCUAUAUCAGCCAAAUAGAGUGAUUCAAAUCAAGGUUUUGGCUGGAAAAUCCCAGAAAUGCAAAUUAUCUCAGCUUUCUGCUUCUUCCAGUGUGUCUUUAUGGGUCCAAAUCAGUCUUAACCCUGCAGAAAUACAGACAUUUCCGUGUGAUUCCACAUGCAGGACUGGUCAGUAUAAAGCAAAUAAGUGA